GGCAGCAUUUUAACCCAAGAGGUUGGAGGGAGGGAUCGGAAGCGAGGCUUCCAGAGAACCUGUUUUUGGUGGCAGAAAAAGCCGCAUGUCCACUAGACAGAAUGAAAGCAUGUGAGGCUUUCAAUUACAAAUCAUCCCGGCAUUGGUUCAAAGCGCCCCAACAGCCCCUGGAGCCCUGCGGCUGGGCAGAGCGGUCCACGUGGCUUUUUCAAUCUCCAGGGUGUGACAACCUCGCUGUGGCCUUGGCAGUGAUGGAGGAGGGGCGCUGGGAACACGCUGGAAGACAGGCAUCGAACUGAAAUCAAAUUUACCAGCACACGUAUUCUUGGGUCUUUGCGCAGGUAUGUUGACAGAGCGCUGAGCUGGCAGUGGGGUGGGGAGCGCUCCCUGACGCCAGGCCCUAUGUGCCAGUCCCGCACGAAUCAUUUGGACGUUGGGGGAGGCAGAGAAAAGUAAGUCAUUAUUCCUGAGUUCCAAGGCAGUGGGCGAAGCAAACACUAGAGGAAGAUAAUGUGCUACAAUACAGGCUUUGCUCAGAUCCUCCAGAACAUUCCUCAGAGCAGAGAGGUAGGUGUAGUGGCCCAGCUGCGUGAAACUGGUUCCUGCAGGGCAGUGGGAGAACCAGGCAGGAGGACUGACCUCCGAGUCCUGGGGAGAAAGCUCAGGAAGUGAUGGGAGUCUGCAGUUUAGCGCCCAGGAGUCGAUGGAAUCUGAUGGAAACAAAGGGUCUGUGGGAAGGGCGGGGCGUGAAGGGGUGGUGGGUGUCUGAAGGGGUGGUGGGAUCCGGGAAAGGCGGAUGGGAGGAGGUAGACCCUGAAACUACCCCACAGCACUGAAGCAGAGGCUGUGGUCUUUCAUUGUGAAACGUGCGGCUGAUGGCGGGAGGGAAGAACAUUCCCUGAGAAGGCACGGAGGGCCUGAGAGCUGGGAGAGGGAGUGUUGGCUCCCGGCUGCAGGUGCCAGGCCCAGGGUCCCAAUCUGCUCCAGCGCUCCACAGCUGGCCGUGGCCGGUGCCCAGAUGUUUUGAGUAGAAAGAAACACUUUUCAGGCAACCUGAAGAAGUCCCAGGAAAUCUAUCACUGGAAGAAAAUCUCCUUCUAGGGUUUUGAUGUAGGUGGAGGGAAUGCAGGGUGGAGUUCAAGCUCAUGUUUGCACUGAAAGGAAUGAAACGGUACAUGGCGUCCUUUCAGACGUGGCUCGACUGUGUUUGGGAAUGCCUUGGGCUCUAGGGUAUAGGGGAGGGUAAAAUUAUCUCACUGUAAUUUGAGAAAAAGCGUCUAUUUUCUUAUUCCUUGAAGAAGUAAAAAUAAGGCGUGUGUGUGUGUGCGUGCGCGCGCACGCUCGUGAACAGCGGGGGUGCUGGCUGGGCUACCCGAGGACAGGACAUCUGAUAAAAGGCUCUUGUUCUAUGAGUUAUUCAGUCAGUUGCUUUUGUCAAGUCUUUCCAAGUCAACAUUUCCAAGCCUCACAGCAAGGACACCACCAGGGCUGUAGGAAAAGACAUGCCAUCUUUCCCGGUUCUGUUCUCCUAGCGCUCUCUUCUCCCCUCUGUGAUGUCUUCUUAGGAGGGAAGAAAUUGGUCAAAGGCUGGAAGGUUUAGGACACUGCAUCAGGACCCCCUGUGCUCCCCUAAACUCCAUCUCUGACAGUUUAUUUUCCAAACUUAAAAGGUUUUGUGGACUUACUAGAAGCCAGGUGUUCCCAAGAAUAGAAAACAUGUCGUCUGAAAGUCCCCAAGUGCCCAGGGCUGGCAGGACAUGGUCGUAGAGGGUCUUGUCUGGCUGUUGAAUGUAUGCUCGUGAUGCCUGGGAGGAAUCCAGGACGUUGGGAAUGUGGCCGGAAUAUGCAGCAGACACACAGAAUGAGGGAGUUUGACUCCACUGUCUUCGGGCCCUGGAGACAAGUCUGGCUCUGGGAAUGCCAGGAUCAUGGUGGGAGGCGUUCGGUGCCAGAAAACCUAGACAGGGACAGACCAGAGAGGUGUGGGUCCCCUGGGGAUUGAGCAUGUUUCAGUGAAGCCCCAGUUCACUCCUCAAAGUCUGGGGGUGGAGAAAAUUCCUCCAAUCUCACCCUUCCCUUUUAAUUUCCUCUCUGGGCCUCAUUUUCCUUGUCUGAUGAAGAGAGUGAGCUGGAUAAUCUCUAAGGUCUUUUCAGCUCGAACCUCCUGGGUAGGGCUGGCUACAUAAUUUCUUGGGCCCAAGGCAAAAUGAAAAUGCAAGGUCCUUGUUCGAAAAUCAGGGGAAAAGGACUCUUCAAGGUCUUAAAAAUAUAAAGCAUUUCCGUUCUCCUUUGUUCUCUCGAAUAGUCAUGAUGUUUUUCAUUUACUAUUUAAUGUUACUCUAAGUAAAGACCAAUUAAAACUUAUAUUAUUAGCGUGAAUUUUACCAUUCAUCUUUAUAUUGUGUAAUGGCAGUUAUAAAUUAUAAACUGUAAGAGCAUUGAAAUUAUAGGCAAAAUCACGCAAUUCAUGUUUUGUAGCUUGUGCAUGCACAUAUAUUAUUUUGUUUUCAGCAGAACAGCAGAAGCACUGCACACAACUAACUCAGAUGUUUGCACUUAACUUUUUAAAAAAAUUUUUUGAAAUGUUUUGAGAGAGAGAGAGAGAGAGAGGGUGAGCCAGGGGAGGGGUAGAGAGAGGGAAACAGAAUCUGAAGCAGGCUUCAGGUUGUAAGCACAGAGGCUGAUGUGGGGCUCGAACUCACAAACCUUGAGAUCAUGAACUGAGCUGAAAUCCAAGGCCUAACCGACUGAGCCACCCAGGUGCCCAUUCACUAUACUUCUUGAUAUGUGCACAUUGUCCUCACGCUCUCUACCUUUGGCUUUCUGAUGAGUAAGGAGGGCAUAAGAGGAAGAGGAACAGGGGAGGACUCAUUUUUUCCCUUUCCUUCCAUGUUGCUAUUUUCAGCCUAAGUGGUUGAUUAAGGGCAGGGAAGUAACAUGAGUAAGAGAGCAAAAAGCUGAUUCAGAAAAAUAUCACCUGUUUCUAUAAAAAGUAACAAAAAAGGAACCAUCACAGAAUCUUAGAAUAUACAAAGAUGUUACAAGAAAAAAAAAAAAAAAGGAAAGGAAAAGUAAAAACAAA